AGUGAUCUCUGGCUAAAUAUAAUUUAUUUUUCUUAGCCAAGCGUGACAAAUUCAAUGAUAAAUUGGUCACGAUAGUUUCCAGGGGGAACCGCGUGGAGGUCGAUCUGAUAGGGUAUAUUGAUAGUAAUGGGGACUAAACUCCCUAUUACUAACAAUUCCUUCUCCCCGGUUAACCUGUUAGGGUAUGUUAGCAAUGGGGCUGUUAGAUCCCAUUAUUAACAAUCCCUUUCCCCCCUUUGUGAGAGGGUUGCCAACGUGCCUGGUCCUGCUAUAAGCAAUACAGUAUAUUUUGUUUACAUUUACCCUAAAUUUUCAUGAAAAGACAGAAGGUUCUGGAUUCCAAACUCAAGUUUUUGAAUAUUGAUUGACAUAAUUAUAAAAUACAUUAUUAAUUUUUGAAAAACAGAAGGGACGGAAACCUCCAUUACUGUAUCUUAACAAGUGGAAUUCAAUAAAUCAAUGUCCGACAGUCGGAGCCAAGAGUUUGUUAAUGAACGUUGAAACAAAAACAUUUGAGAAUUGACUUGAGAACACUCUCAGAUAUAUAAGUAAAUACACAUGUUUUCCUUAUUAGGGGAGUUACAUCAUAUACUGUGAUGACUCACCGUCUGUAGGCUGAGUGGAUUGGUGAUUAUUUAAAUAGUGUGAUUACUUCCUUGUGUAUAAAGAGAUCUGGGGGUUUACCAUCGAAUGAAUUCCUAAUUUUUGGACUCAGUUUCGUUUGUUUUUACAACAGUCAGAUUGUCAGUAAUGUUGAGGUUAGUUCCUAUUGCUGUCAACUUACCGUAUCAGGUCGACCUCCACGCGGUUCCCCCUGGAAACCAUCGUGACAUCUAAUUUAUCGUUGAAUUUGUCACAAUGGGCUAACUGAUCUGCCUUUUCAUCCUCACCUAUCAUCUCUAUCACUGGUGCCCCGUCAGUGUAUACCGAUAGCACAGGCGGGGUUACCGUACCAUUAUCAUCCAUUGAAAAAAAACUACCUGCCUUUUCAUUCCCACCUAUCAUUCCUCACUGGUGCCCCAUCCAAUAGAUACCGAUAACGCUGGUGGGGUUACCAUUCCGAUAUCAUCUAUUAGAAAGUGAAAGGUUGGCUGUCAGCUUACAAUAGCUGUUCUUGUCUCUUGAACAACAUGAAUUCGUAUCAUUAUCAUCAUAUCGGUCGAUAAUUGUCCAUUAUUGAACGUAGGCCUCCCCUUGGGGGGUUUUCCUAGUAGUUGCCACGCUUGGUUAGGCUAAUUGGUAAUUGCUAAAUUUUUACUUCAAUUUUUAUAUUCCCUUUUAAAACGUCGGCAGCACACCUGCAAUGCCUUUGUUGUUGUGGGUGAUCAUGGGCGGCGGUAGUCACUUACCAUCAGGUGUGCUGCACGCUCGUUUGCCCCCUGUGUUGUAAAAAAAAAAUACUUUUUUGUUUACUAACAUAGUUUGUAAGGAAAUUGUUGCUAACAAAAUGGAUCUAAUUGUAGUCUAAAAAUUAAAAAAAAAUUAUACAUUGCUAGCAGUGGGGCCUUUAGCCCCAUUUUUUUUUUUAUACAACUUAGAAUGGCAAACAAGCUGUCGGCCCACCUGAUGGAAAGUGGUAACCGUCGCCUAUAGACAUGAGCAGUACCGUGGACAUAACAGAGUAUACUGUUUCGCCCAUGAUACCCCCCAUGCGUUGUCAUUCCUGAGGACUCAGGUGUUAUUCCUCUGUACCCAGUAAAUUCACGCAUUAUUAUUAACAAUUGUCACCCUUGGUUUGUAGAUAUAUAUCAUUAGUCGAGUAUACGCGCUUGGUUGACCAUUACGAGAUCCUGUUCCAAUGUACAGCUGGUAAAUGAGUACAGGAAAAUUAUAUGAUACGUAGGUACAUUGCAUUUUAACUAGACGGACCGACAGUAGACAAGAUAAUUGGGAAAGAAUAACUAGUAGUUGGCGAUAUCAUUUGAAUAAAGUAACUUGUAACAGUCGAUCGUUUAUAUAAAUACGCCGGUCAAGUGCGAGUCGGCCUCGCGCAACGAGGGUUCUGUACAAAAUCAUCAAGUUAAUUUUUUUUUUUGUGAACUUACUACAAAUUUACGGUUUUAGGAUUUUUUCCUUUACAUGGCAUUGGUGUCCUUUGCUACAUGGCAUUGGUUCUUGUCAAAUUUCAUGUUCAACAGGAAGUACCGUUAUAGUUAUAUGGUUUUGAUUCCCUUUGUGAAUCUCAAAAUAUGCGAUAUAAAUGGAACAAAAACGGCCGUAUCUUUUGAUUGCGUCGAUUUAGAAAUUCGAUUUUUUCUCUGCUUUAAGAGAUUGCAGACCUGUGUAUAUGAUAUUAAUUUCAAUUUGAUACCUCCACGCGCUCCUAAGAAAAAGGGUCUUGACACACGGACGGACGGACAACGAAGUGAGCCUAUAAGGAUUCCGUUUUCCUUUCGAGGUACAGAACCCAGAAUUAGACAGACAGAAUUUACAGGGUACAGAAGAAUAAUACCUGAGUCCUCAGGAAUAGUAACGCAUGGGGGUAUCAUGGGCGAAACAGUAUACUCUGUUAUGUCCAUGGUACUGCUCAUGUCUAUAGACGACGGUUACCACUUUCCAUCAGGUGGGCCGUCAGCUUGAUUGUCACUCUAAGUUGCAUAAAAAAAUUGUUUAAUGGCAAACAAGUAGAUGAUAAAACACUACCAGAUGGCAAUAAAAAUCAAUAAAAAAGUUUUACUAAAUUGACGCUCAACCACCAAUACCACCUAACUGACAUUUACAAAUUCCUUAUCGAAAUUUCUUUUAAUUAAUUUUAUUUUUCUAAGUUACAUAGAGAAAUGACUGUAAUAUUAUAGAAUAUUGGUAUUAAAACCAACUCUUUUUUAAAUUAAUUAUAUUUGGAAUAAAUACAGAAAUAUGUUUUCCGUGUCUCGUGUAAAAUAUUGUCCGCCUUAUUAUAUAAGGCAUUCGCAGAUAACCGUUGUGAUGUCGUUAAACGCUGAAAAUAGUGAAUUUGACAUCUUUCCAUCAGUCUAUGAACUAAGAAUUGCUUUACUCUAAUCGGUCUGUCGUAAAAUGUUGCCACGUUGUAGGCUAAAAAAGAUCCGGUACUAUCCGGGCCUGAUACGUAACUGUAUGAAACAUAUUCUUAAGGCGCUGUUUGCACGCUUCAAAUGUAUUUACGCGAACUCUUGUACAAACUGAACAUUCCUGCUUGUGUGUAUAUAUGUAUCUACCUAUAAGUAGGUACGACGUCGCGUAUCAGUCGUCCGCCUAUCUCGGUGACCUUCGGAGCGCACCGCCGGCUGGCAACAGCGGCAGCGUAGCGUAAACCAUAUCUAUACCUACGCUAUGCUACAGAUUUGAUCAAACAACGCUACCUAUAGCUAUAUUAUGUGGCGCGCUUAGCACGAUGACCCGUUCCCCCGGCCCCCGCGCCCCGCGCCGCUCCCUCGCUGCCGCUCCGUGACGCAUCGCAUUCUCGACUCGGCACAACAGAAUAACCCGGCGCAGGCGGACACAAGUGCACUGUUCUCGGAACAGUUUCGAAAGCAGACACGUUCGUUGCGAAGCAGAUGCGAAAUGCAACUACUAUUAUUAGAUAGCUGCCUAAUUUUUGGGCUGUGCGAUGUACCGAGCUUUGAUAAUGAAAGCGGGUCAUGAAAAGUCAAGGACUUGCUCAAUGGAGAGAAAUAAAACUACGAAAUAGGCUCUUGUUUUUUUAUUACUUCUUGUUUGAUAUCGUUUUGUACUUUUGUCUCAUAUAAUUGAUAACCUAUGAACAAAUGUAGCCGUUCCGAGGCACUAUAUCGUAUAAAUAAAUAAGAUUGUGUUCCGCAGUCUUGUUAUAAAAUAAAUUAACAUUUUCCACAAAAAAAAAAAAAAAAAAAAACUCGACGUGGUAGCAAAACGAGUUAUUUUGAGUUAAAAUCUAAACGAUUGAAUCGAUUUUGAUAAAAUUUCUAUGAGAGCGAUCUGUAAGUAUAUUCUUUUAGAUAAAAAAACAAUUUUAUAAAUCGGUUUACAACUACAGGAGGUCCACAACCUCUUUCUUUAUGAAGUUGGUUGAAAAAAAAAAUCUGCAUUAUUCAUUUAUCUACACCAAAGCGUAAAAAGAUUGCUUUAAAAAAAAUUGUGUACUUCUUUUUUAGUCGACAGUAAUUUCACGCGUAUAGUUUUAUUUAUAUACGUUCCAAGAUUAAAUUUAACUGUUCCAACAACAAGAUUAGGAUUACAUUAACGAUUUGAUAUCGCGGUACCGUUGUUGCUAUAAUUUAUUAGUUUAAUUCCUAAAAACAGGAAGCGUGUCAUUUGAAAUUCAAUACGUUGUUUUUCUACAAGUUUUUAGGUCGAUAACGGUAUCGGGCAUCGGGUGCAUGCGAAAUACACCCAUUUGCAAGCUAUAAACUGUUUUUAAGAGCUCGCCUGAAUGUACUGUGCCACUUGUGCCUGACAACUAAUAUUUGCGCAGCUCUUGGGCGCGCGGCUAAAUAAUUUACUCGUAUGUAACACUCCUCCGACACUUCGGUUUGUCUUCGACUGCAUUGUAUGGCACUGUGAAAUCUAUUGAAACACGGCUUUUAGUGCAUUCAAACUUCUUCCUUGUCCAACCACUAUGAAGUGUCUACAGCUAAAAACAGAGUCUUUUAUUACCCCAUUGUGUUUGCUGGUUUUGUAAACUGUACUGUACUGUGUACAUCUUUGAUUUUUUUUUAACUCCUCUUUCAGUAAAUAGUUAUACAAUGACAAUAUAUAUUUAUUCCUUUAUAUAUGUAAUUUUAGUAUGUAUGUAUAUCAAUAAUUACUAGUACCGCAUUCGAGUAUUCUGACACUUCCCUAUGGUUGACUGGGAGAGAAUACUUUUAGCAUUGAGUCCGCCAUGUACACAUAUUUGUAUUAAUGAAUAAAUAAAUAAAUUCUGUAAUAUCUAAUAUUUAAUGAAUAGACAUCAAAAAUAUGACUAAUCAAAUCCGAUUAACCGAAGACUUUGAUCGAUGAUCAUUUAAUAUACAAUUUACAGUAAUACCUACUCGCAUGAGAAAUAUUCUAAAUGAGCACGCUAAUGGGCCAACGGUAUCAAUUAAUGCCGUUGGGUGUCACAAACAAAUGAAUCACUACAAAACUUGCAUAUCUAUCAAUGUAAGCAAAAUUAUGUAAUAGUGUUAAAUAAAAAAUCUAUUAAGAUACUAAAAUUAGUUUGGAUUUGGUGUUAUAAAAAUGUGACAAUCAGGGCCGUAGCUAGACCCAAGUUUAAGGUAGGGCAAAAGAACUUUUUGGUAUGGCAGAAGCCAUAUAUACUGGAUAAUAUUGUAACAGAUCCUUAGACUAUUUCUAAAGUGAAAGAAGUGUUGUCCUGCUCUCUCCUACUUGCUGUGCCCAACAGGGUCCAUAAUUGAAAUGUUAUCUACUGAUUAUAUUAUGGAAUGCAAUAAGAAAUAAAUAAAUAUUUCUU